rnacentral:lncRNA from 1 species
CAUUAAAUAUAUUUUUUAUUAGUUUUGUAAUUAAAAACUAUAAUUCUUUAAAUAAGGAUAAAAUUGUAAUUUGAAACUAUUUACUCUCAAUCCAAGACAAAGUAAACACAUAAAUUAGAUUCUGAUCUCUAUUCCAUGCUUCAAUUCCAGUGUAAGUAAACAACCUACUCACACUCCCACUCCACACUCCCAAUCCUAGGAUUCUCACUCUUCAGGAUUCCCAAUCCAAUCCAAAAAGUAAACGCUACCUUAAUGAUUCAGGUGGUCACUCCAAGGUGAGGGCUUUUUCUUUCUAGUUGGAUUAGGAGUGUGGAGUGAGAGUGGGAGUGGGAUUAUGGUGUUUACUUAGACUAAAUGAAAGUAUGGAUUGUCAAUCAGAAUCCUAAUUAUUUGUUUACUUUGUCUUGGAUUGAGAGUAAAUUGUUUUAAAUUACAAUUUUAUCCUUAUGUACAGAAUUAUUAUUUGUAAUUAAAAAAUUAAUAA